ensembl:lncRNA
GCUAAAACACCGAUAUGUGUAGCUGAGCUAAGGCUGUUAUGGACAUUAAAGAUUAAUAAUUAAAUACUCAAAGUGUUCAGAUACUGCAGACUCUUAGCUGAACGCUUAUCAGAGAAAGGUCGAGCUGGCCCGAGCUCCAUGGAAGAACCAUUAUAUUGCACCCACAGGGAAAUAAGUCUUGUCUCCUCACUGCAACUCCCGUACGGACUUGGGAGAGGCGAAGGUCGGGAGCCAUGCGUCCUCCGAAACACGACCCAACCAACCCGCACUGCUUCUUGACACAAUGCCCCCUUAACCCGGAAGCCAGCCACACCAAUAUGUCGGAGGAAACACCGUACACCUGGCGACCGUGUCAGCAUGCACUGGCCCCGCCCGCCACAGGAGUCGCUAGAGAGCGAUGGGACAAGGACAUCCCGGCCGGCCAAACCCUCCCCUAACCUAGACGACGCUGGGCCAAUUGUGCACCGCCCCAUGGGUCUCCCGGUCUCGGCCGGCUGCGACAGAGCCUGGACUCAAACCAGGAUUUCUAGUGGCACAGCUAGCAACUGCAAUGCAGUGCCUUAGACCACUGCGCAACUCGGGAGGCCCUAAGCAUGUAAAACUUGUAGUGUACUCAAGGCUUAAAAGGGCUUCUGAAAUGAGUAAUUUCCACUUUGAAACUUCUGACUUGAUUUUCCUGUACAAAAAAAAUAUAUAUAAAGGGGCGGCAGGGUAGCCUAGUGGUUAGAGCGUUGGACUAGUAACCGGAAGGUUGCAAGUUCAAAUCCCUGAGCUGACAAGGUACAAAUCUGUCGUUCUGCCCCUGAACAGGCAGUUAACCCACUGUUCCUAGGCCGUCAUUGAAAAUAAGAAUUUGUUCUUAACUGACUUGCCUAGUUAAUAAAAAAAAAUAUUAACCCCUACAAAAUGUAUUAUAAAUACAAAAUGUAUUAUAAUCCAUAUAAUUAAAAGUUCCUUUCUGCUGGACUAUUUUCCUGCAGUAACAAACUCAGCUUAGCUCAAAUUAAGAUCCUACAUCUGUAACUCAAAUUGACCUCUAUUUCUCAGAUCGGGAUGUAACAUUCUUUUUGUCAUCCAGUGCUCGUUGUCUAGAUGUUUGUUUCUCUUGAGCCACAGUGAUCCUCUGGCCCACAGAUCCACAGCUAAAACACAUCAGUAGGAACAAGAGGUCAACACACUGGUAGAGUUAGCCUAAAUUGGUUCACAAUUAAGAGAAUGAGGUGGAUGCAGUAUAUAUUAUUUUACAGUCAAACUUACCAUCCUACAAUACCGAAUCAUCUUUAUGAUAAUUUUCCCUCGCCAAGGCUUCCUCUGCAAAAUAACAAACAAAACAGGAUAGUUGGAGCGCUCAAAGUCCCAUUGCCAUCGCUAGAUAGACAUACCACCAUAUUGCUAACAUCUUAAAUAUAAUACUGUUUAUGCCAUUAAGCAAACUCAUUUAUCCAAAGUGACUUACUGUACAGUCAUGCAUGCAUACAUUUUUCAUUUGGGUGGCCCAGGAGGUUAAAGUUAUAUUCCUAACUCCUAUUUGGUCCCUUCAGAUCAAACAUAGAAGUGGAAGAUGCUGGGCAUCAUACCUUCCUUCCCCUGCCCCUCUUCAGCUGCGGUUGUGUUAACAGCAGAGUAGGAGACACCUGAGAGACAUCUAAUGAUACUUCUGGUACUAUUUCUGCAUCAUGCAGUCUAGAAGUAGCUCUAUGACUUGCCUGUGGAUGCAGAAACUCCAUUUGAUGUGUCAGUGGCUGAAGAGAGAGAGAGAGAGUUUAGCUUAAUCAUACACAGAUCCUGUUUGUUGUGGUCAAGUAAAGGAAACACUUACUAGGUCCCACUUCUCUCUGGUUUCUCCAGAAUUCUAGUAAUGGAAAACAGAGAAGAGAUAUUUGAAUUAGGUCAGUAAUCUCAGCAGUGACUAAUGCAAGUAAUACACAUUUAACAUGUUCAUCUCCCUUCCACCGGAGCAAAGGGACAUGAUCGUGAGGAAUCGUGAUGGCAGCGAAAACAAUGAAUGGAAUUUAAAUGAACAUUACUACAAAACAAUGAAUGGAAUUUAAAUGAACAUUACUACAAAACAAUGAAUGGAAUUUAAAUGAACAUUACUACAAAACAAUGAAUGGAAUUUAAAUGAAC